UGCUUGGUGGAUCAGUGGCGAACGGGUGAGUAACACGUGAGCAACCUGCCCUGGACUCUGGGAUAAGCGCUGGAAACGGCGUCUAAUACUGGAUAUGAGACGUGAUCGCAUGGUCGUGUUUGGAAAGAUUUUUCGGUCUGGGAUGGGCUCGCGGCCUAUCAGCUUGUUGGUGAGGUAAUGGCUCACCAAGGCGUCGACGGGUAGCCGGCCUGAGAGGGUGACCGGCCACACUGGGACUGAGACACGGCCCAGACUCCUACGGGAGGCAGCAGUGGGGAAUAUUGCACAAUGGGCGGAAGCCUGAUGCAGCAACGCCGCGUGAGGGAUGACGGCCUUCGGGUUGUAAACCUCUUUUAGCAGGGAAGAAGCGAAAGUGACGGUACCUGCAGAAAAAGCGCCGGCUAACUACGUGCCAGCAGCCGCGGUAAUACGUAGGGCGCAAGCGUUAUCCGGAAUUAUUGGGCGUAAAGAGCUCGUAGGCGGUUUGUCGCGUCUGCUGUGAAAUCCCGAGGCUCAACCUCGGGCCUGCAGUGGGUACGGGCAGACUAGAGUGCGGUAGGGGAGAUUGGAAUUCCUGGUGUAGCGGUGGAAUGCGCAGAUAUCAGGAGGAACACCGAUGGCGAAGGCAGAUCUCUGGGCCGUAACUGACGCUGAGGAGCGAAAGGGUGGGGAGCAAACAGGCUUAGAUACCCUGGUAGUCCACCCCGUAAACGUUGGGAACUAGUUGUGGGGACCAUUCCACGGUUUCCGUGACGCAGCUAACGCA
rnacentral:rRNA from 2 species